GGGGGUAUAGCUCAGUGGUAGAGUGCUUGCCUAGCAUGCGAGAGGUCCUGAGUUUGGUCUGCAGUACUGCCU
rnacentral:tRNA from 1 species